UGCCCAGUGAUGAUACCAUCCUGGCUCCUUGUGCAUUCUGAGGCUGGAGGUGACAACAUGUCUUCUCUUGGGACAGGUCAGUGGCACCAUUAUUUGAGGUUUUAGGGCA